rnacentral:rRNA from 1 species
UACAGAGGUCUCGAGCGUUAGGCGGAAUCACUGGGCUUAAAGCGUGUGUAGGUGGAUGCCUAAGUACCUUGUGAAAUCCCACGGCUUAACCGUGGAACUGCUUGGUAUACUGGGUGUCUUGAGUCACUCAGGGGCGAGCGGAACAAAUGGUGGAGCGGUGAAAUGCGUAGAUAUCAGGAGGAACACCGGUGGCGAAGGCGGGUCUCUGGGCCGAAAUUGACGCUGAGGAGCGAAAGCGUGGGGAGCAAACAGG